CCUACGGGCGGCAGCAGUGAGGAAUAUUGGUCAAUGGACGAGAGUCUGAACCAGCCAAGUAGCGUGAAGGAUGACUGCCCUAUGGGUUGUAAACUUCUUUUAUAUGGGAAUAAAAUGUUCCACGUGUGGGAUUUUGUAUGUACCAUAUGAAUAAGGAUCGGCUAACUCCGUGCCAGCAGCCGCGGUAAUACGGAGGAUCCGAGCGUUAUCCGGAUUUAUUGGGGUUAAAGGGAGCGUAGGUGGAUUGUUAAGUCAGUUGUGAAAGUUUGCGGAUCAACCGUAAAAUUGCAGUUGAAACUGGCAGUCUUGAGUGCAGGAGAGGUGGGCGGAAUUCGUGGUGUAGCGGUGAAAUGCUUAGAUAUCACGAAGAACUCCGAUUGCGAAGGCAGUUCACUGGACUGCAACUGACACUGAGGCUCGAAAGUGUGGGUAUCAAACAGGAUUAGAUACCCGAGUAGUC
rnacentral:rRNA from 1 species